rnacentral:lncRNA from 1 species
AAAGAAUAAGAAAACGUAAAAGGAGGGUAAAGAUUAAAUAUAUACAGUUACCAAACGGAGAGUCGAAGUCUGGAGUCAAGGCAGACUCCGGAAUCUUGGUUGAAUCCCAGAAAUGUUGACACCACGAUGCUAUCAACAUUCCACCAAACAUUGAGAACAUGAAUGUUAUCAACAUUGGACCCAACAUUGUCGGAGUUAACAUUGACUCUAACAAUCUCCGCCUUAAUCUUUUCGUUCCUGCAACAAAAACAAAAACAAAGAAAACAAAACUAUAUAAAAAAAAUACUAUGUUACAGGGUCCAGAUCAAGACGAAGUACGAAACUCCCCCUUAAUCAAACAUUAGGAUAACCUCAACAAUAAUUCAAGGAAGAUGUUGAAACAAGACUCCCCGUGAAACAAACAAGAGGUAAUGUUGAGCCAACAUCCCGUUUAACUAACACUCCCCAAG